rnacentral:rRNA from 1 species
CGGAGGAUCCAAGCGUUAUCCGGAAUCAUUGGGUUUAAAGGGUCCGUAGGCGGUUUAAUAAGUCAGUGGUGAAAUCUGGUCGCUCAACGAUCAAACGGCCAUUGAUACUGUUAGACUUGAAUUAUUGGGAAGUAACUAGAAUAUGUAGUGUAGCGGUGAAAUGCUUAGAUAUUACAUGGAAUACCAAUUGCGAAGGCAGGUUACUACCAGUGGAUUGACGCUGAUGGACGAAAGCGUGGGGAGCGAACAGGAUUAGAUACCCUGGUAGUCCACGCCGUAAACGAUGGAUACUAGCUGUUCGGAGCAAUCUGAGUGGCUAAGCGAAAGUGAUAGUAUCCCACCUGGGGAGUACGUUCGCAAGAAUG